rnacentral:tRNA from 1 species
GAGGGUGUAGCUCAGGCGGCAGAGCAAUGCAUUUUUAAUGCAUGGGUCGAAGGUUCGAGUCCUUCCACCCUCACCA